rnacentral:rRNA from 1 species
AUUGAACGCUGGCGGCAUGCCUUACACAUGCAAGUCGAACGCGAAAGGGGGGCAACUCCCGAGUAGAGUGGCGAACGGGUGAGUAAUACAUCGGAACAUUUCCUGUAGUGGGGGAUAACUUCGAGAAAUCGAAGCUAAUACCGCGUACGUCCUACGGGAGAAAGCAGGGGAUCGCAAGACCUUGCGCUAUAGGAGUGGCCGAUGUCGGAUUAGCUAGUUGGCGGGGUAAAAGCCCACCAAGGCGACGAUCCGUAGCUGGUCUGAGAGGAUGAUCAGCCACACUGGGACUGAGACACGGCCCAGACUCCUACGGGAGGCAGCAGUGGGGAAUUUUGGACAAUGGGCGCAAGCCUGAUCCAGCCAUGCCGCGUGAGUGAAGAAGGCCU